rnacentral:misc_RNA from 1 species
GAUGAAGAACGUAGCGAAAUGCGAUAAGUAAUGUGAAUUGCAGAAUUCAGUGAAUCAUCGAAUCUUUGAACGCACAUUGCGCCCCUUGGUAUUCCGAGGGGCAUGCCCGUUCGAGCGUCAUUAUAACCCCUCAAGCUCAGCUUGGUGUUGGGGCCUGCUGCACUGGCAGCCCUUAAAAUCAGUGGCGGCGCCAUCUGGCUCUAAGCGUAGUAAUUCUUCUCGCUAUGGAGUCCUGGUGGAUGCUUGCCAUCAACCCCCAAUUUUUCUAUGGUUGACCUCGGAUCAGGUAGGGAUACCCGCUGAACUUAAGCAUAUCAAUAAGCGGAGGA